CUGGACCAAUAGGUUGGUCAAACUGAAUCAAAAGGGGGGAAACAUAAUCAUCAGACACGCGUCCUUCACCCGUGAAAACCCCAUCUUUCUUUAGAACCUUCUCCUUUGUUUUCUGCUCUGAUCAAAACCUUUUCAACCCUGGUGAAACUCAUUUCUGUAGCAAAAGUGACUCAGAACAGAGCCAAAUCUUCUGGUUCAUAAUUCUGAAUUGAGAGAAAGUUACAAGGUGAAAGUCUCUUCUGGACACGCCUGUCAGCCAACUUCGACAGCUUCAAACUGCCAUUUCUGCAGUUCAUAUCACCACGACUUUUUCAUUAAAGUUGUUCGAAAUUGCAUCUUCUAUACUGUGCUCGAAAAUCAUGAUAAUCCAACGGUUAAUUCGUCCUCAAUCAAGUUUCUACUCAGAUUGGGUCAUGUUUCUCCAUCGACAUUGAGUUAAUUUCAUGAAGUUUACAUCUCCAUCUUGAGUUCACACACAAUUGAUUUUACAAUUGGCAUGGGGACAUGCAGUGGACCUCGAUCACCAAAAGGAACAAUGAUAGAGGUGGUGGCUAGUUCGUCGAUAUGUUUUCCAUUGCUAAGCUAUCAAGCUAUUUCAUAUUCAAUUCCGGAUCGGCUCCAUGCUCCACCAUCUCUAAACAAACUUUCACCCGUUGGUGGAUUUUUGUUAUAUCAACAGAGGGUGUCCAGAUUACCUC